UGGGGACUGAAAAGUUCCCUCAUUCUUAAAACAUCUUUGAGGGGACAUCUCAGUGGCCUCAGCAGAAAGGAUAGCCGAAGUCACUAGGUGUGUGCUUUUGGGGCAUUCUGGAAGAAUCAUAGAAUUAUCUAAGUUAGAAAAGACCUUCAAGGUCACCAAGUCUAACCAUCAACCCAACCUACUGAGUCCCAUUCCCAAACUAUGUCCCUUAGCACCACAAAAUGGCAGAUAUUAGUACCCAGGUUGUAGAGUGUACCAUCCAUUUUGUUUUAGUCACAUGGCAGGCUCAAGCUAUUCCCUCAUGAGGGGGCAGGCAGCACUGACUGAAAAAUCAUAAAUACUGUGUGGGCAGGGCAGAAGGUAGUUGGGAGCUUUCUGUUAAUAAGCCCCCUCAUGAUUUGAUAGCACUGAAACAUCGGUGGGAGCAGAGGAGCUUGCGUGUGGCUCGUGUGAGCAUUGCUCACGUACUGGGCAAGAUGGCCUAAGCAUGCUAGAGGCCUGCGAUGGCCAAACGCGCCAGGCAGACGGCUGCAAGUCGCAUGGGACUACUCUUCAGCUGCGUUGAAUCGACAGAGCACCUCGAUGUGGCAAGGUGCUCCUGCUCAGCCCCGGGGGAAGAUGCUCCUUCCUCGAACUGGUGGACGAGGAUGCAGUUGGGGUCAAUACAAGCAACUUCAGAGGAAGUCACUGCUUGAUUAUAAGACUACGGCUUUGGACUGCAGAGGACAGAGUGUGCAAGGAAAACGAGCGCUUCUGGGCCAUCCACAAGCAGCGGACGCCCUCUGAAUAUCAUAUGGGGUAUCCACCUGACGGUGUUUGGUCCCUUUACUUUGGAAAUUGAAGCACAUCCCUUUGCCGAAAAGCACUGCAUUGUUUGGAGACCUGUCUGGGACAAGCCACCCGAACACACUUUGUGUCACGCAGAGAGCCUGGGAGCGUGGGUCCAAACCUCCCCGGAGCACGAAGGGGCCGAGAAGAGGACGGAUCGACCGGCAUGCUGCCUGUGCGGCACUACCAGGGGGGGAAAAUUAGCAGGAGGAGAUCAGAGGAAGAUAAGCGAGGAGCGAGCCGCUUCCCCGAGACCUUCCACUGCGGAUCCGCGAGGGAACAUCAGACGCCUUAAAAAAACCAAAACAAACCCAAACACGGCGUUCAAGCCAGCACAAGGCGAGCGAAAGAUCAAAAAGACGCGGAGAGAGAGAAAGAGGCAGAGAGGGAGACAGAUUAACUGGAGCGGCAGCGGCGGCAGCAACAACAACAACAAAAAUCACACUUAAAAUCAUAAUAACAAUAACAACAAUAAUAAACCCCAAACCACCGGCAAGGGAGAUCUUGUUUAAAAAGAGCGAGCGAGGGAGCGAGCAGAAGAGCCGGUCUGACCGAGUGGAUCCGUGCAGCCGCUCCUGGGAUCGCCGGGACCCAGCCGAUCGAGUCCCCGGUGCGGGGCCGCGCCGGGCACCGCCGCAGCAUCCUCGGCGCCGAGCCUCGAAGGAAGCCGGCCCGCCGCUCCGGAGCGGGGCUCGGGGGGCCAGCCUCGCCGCCGGGGGGGCUGCCGGCAUCGGCCCCGCUCCCCGCAGCCCCCGGCUCCGCUCCGGGCCGGCUCGGGAGGGGAGCGGUGCGGUGCGGUGCGGAGCCGAGCCGCCCGGGGACCCGCACCCACGGCCCGCGGCUCGUCGUCUUGCGGGGGCGGAGUGGGCGGGGGGGUACAAGUGGCACUUCUCCCCCCCCCCCCGCCCCCCCCUCCUUCCAGGCUAUAAAUUGGAUUGUAUAUAAAUCUGCUUCGUUUAUCUCCCUGACCCCCCUCCAUGACGCCGGACUAAAGAGCUCCUCUCCGCGGCCCGCCCGGACCUGCCGAAGCGAGCGAUGGACCAGGCGCGGCGCCGCCCGGGGAUGCCCCUCUGAAGCGGCGCGGGGCCCCGGGGCAGCGCGGCGCCGCCUCCCCCAGCUCCCCGGCUCCCCUCGCACCCCCGGCCCGCUCCCCCC